GUGAAAGUAGCUCAGUUUGGUUAGAGCAUCAGAUUGUGGUUCUGAGGGUCGGGGGUUCGAAUCCCCUCUUUCACC
rnacentral:tRNA from 1 species